rnacentral:lncRNA from 1 species
GAGGAGCCUUUCAACGAUUAGAUGCUGUUCUUAUUCUUCUUGCUGUAAAUGGCCUUGGAAAACGUUUGCAUCUUAAUAACCACAACCAUUUCGGACGGUAUCCCUUUUCCUUUUUAAAAAUAAAAAUAAAAAAAAUUAAACUUGAUUCAAUCCCAUUAUGGGAAUCUUCUCACUCUUAACAAGAACCCUAAAUAAAUAUAAUAAUAAAGAGAAAGGUCAGCACCCACCUCCCUUAAUCAUGC